rnacentral:misc_RNA from 1 species
ACGUAUCCAACGUUAAAAACCCCGUGAACCAUACCAAACUGUUGCCUCGGCGGGGUCACGCCCCGGGUGCGUCGCAGCCCCGGAACCAGGCGCCCACCGGAGGGACCAACCAAACUCUUUCUGUAGUCCCCUCGCGGACGUUAUUUCUUACAGCUCUGAGCAAAAAUUCAAAAUGAACCAAAACUUUCAACAACGGAUCUCUUGGUUCU